CCUACGGGAGGCAGCAGUGAGGAAUAUUGGUCAAUGGCCGGAAGGCUGAACCAGCCAUGCCGCGUGAAGGUCAGUGCCCUAUGGGCGUUAAACUUCUUUUGUGCGGGAGCAAUAAUGGUCACGUGUGGCCAGACGAGAGUACCGUACGAAUAAGCAUCGGCUAACUCCGUGCCAGCAGCCGCGGUAAUACGGGGGAUGCAAGCGUUAUCCGGAGUUAUUGGGUUUAAAGGGUGCGUAGGCUGUGAGGUAAGUCAGCGGUGAAAUGCCCCCGCUCAACGGGGUGAAGGGCCAUUGAUACUGCCUGGCUGGAAUGCGGAUGCCGUGGGAGGAAUGUGUGGUGUAGCGGUGAAAUGCAUAGAUAGCACACAGAACACCGAUUGCGAAGGCAUCUCACGAAUCCGCGAUUGACGCUGAUGCACGAAAGCGUGGGUAUCAAACAGGAUUAGAUACCCCAGUAGUC
rnacentral:rRNA from 1 species